rnacentral:lncRNA from 1 species
AUUUAUGUAGUACACAUAGAAUGUUUUUAUUGGUUCUAUUUUUUGUACAAUAUUUUAUUCAAUAAAAUUGCAAUGGCAUUUACUCUUGAAUUUGAUGAAGUCACAUGUCUUAGCAAUCUUUUUAUGCCAUGAAUGCUUUUUAGCUCACCUGGCCCGAAGGGUCAAGUGAGCUUUUCCCAUCACUUGGCGUCCGGCGUCCAUCGUCCGGCGUCCGUCGUCCGGCGUUAACUUUUACAAAAAUCUUCUCCUCUGAAACUACUGGGCCAAAUUUACCCAAACUUGGCCACAAUCAUCAUUGGGGUAUCUAGUUUAAAAAAUGUGUCCGGUGACCCGGUCAACCAACCAAGAUGGCUGCCACAGCUAAAAAUAGAACAUGGGGGUAAAAUGCAGUUUUUGGCUUAUAACUCAAAACCCAAAGCAUUUAGAGCAAAUCUGACAUGGGGUAAAAUUGUUCAUCAGGUCAAGAUCUAUCUGUCCUGAAAUUUUCAGAUGAAUAGGAUAACCGGUUGUUGGGUUGCUGCCCCUAAAUUGGUAAUUUUAAGGAAAUUUUGCUGUUUUUGGUUAUUAUCUUGAAUAUUAUUAUAGAUAGAGAUAAACUGUGAAAAGCAAUAAUGUUCAGCAAAGUAAGAUUUACAAAUAAGCCAACAUGACCAAAAUGGUCAGUUGACCCCUUUAGGAGUUAUUGCCCUUAAUAGUCAAUUUUUAACCAUUUUUCGUAAAUCUUAGUAAUCUUUUACAAAAAUCUUCUCCUCUAAAACUACUGGGCCAAAUUUAACCAAACUUGGCCACAAUCAUCAUUCGGGUAUUUGAUUUAAAAAAUGUGUCCGGUGACCCAGUCAACCAACCAAGAUGGCCACCACAGCUAAAAAUAGAACAUGGGGGUAAAAUGCAGUUUUUGGCUUAUAACUCAAAGACCAAAGCAUUUAGAGCAAAUCUGACAUCGGUAAAAUUUUUCAUCAGGUUAAGAUCUAUCUGCCCUGAAAUUUUCAGAUGAAUCGGACAAUCCGCUGUUGGGUUGCUGCCCCAGAAUUGGUAAUUUUAAGGAAAUUUUGCUGUUUUUAGUUAUUAUCUUGAAUAUUAUUAUAGAUAGAGAUAAAUUGUAAACAGCAAUAAUGUUCAGCAAAGUAAGAUUUACAAAUAAGUCAACAUAACCGAAAUGGUCAAUUGACCCCUUUAGGAGUUAUUGCACUUUAUAGUAAAUUUUUAACAGUUUUUCGUAAAUCUUAGUAAUCUUUUACAAAAAUCUUCUCCUCUGAUACUACGGGGCCAAAUCAAACCAAACUUGGCCACAAUCAUCAUUUGGGUAUCUAGUUUAAAAAAUAUGUGGCGUGACCUGGUCAACCAACCAAGAUGGCUGCCACGGUUAAAAAUAGAACGUAGGGGUAAAAUUAAGUUUUUGGCUUAUAACUCAAAAACCAAAGCAUUUAAAGCAAAUAUGACAGAGGUAAAAUUAUUUUACAGGUCAAAAUUUAUCUGCCCUGAAAUUUUCAGAUGAAUCGAACAACCCGUUGUUGGUAGCUGCCCCUGAACUGUUAAUUUUAAGGAAAUUUUGCUGUUUUUGAUUAUUAUCUUGAAUAUUAUUAUAGAUAGAGAUAAACUGUAAAAACAAUACAUGUUGGCAAAGUAAGAUCUACAAAUAGGUCAACAUGACCAAAAUUGUCAGUUGACCCCUUUAGGAGUUAUUGCCCUUUAUAGUCAUGUUUUAACCAUUUUUUCAUAAAUCUUAGUAAUCUUUUACAAAUAUCUUCUCCUCUGAAACUACUGGGCCAAGUAAAUUAUAGAUAGAGAUAAUUGUAAGCAGCUAGAAUGUUCAGUAAAUUAAGAUGUACAAACACAUCACCAUCAUCAAAACACAAUUUUGUCAUGAAUCCAUCUGCAUCCUUUGUUUAAUAUUCACAUAGACCAAGGUGAGCGACACAGGCUCUUUAGAGCCUCUAGUUUAAUGUUUUUAAAUGCACGUAAAAAAUUUGACAGGUAGUAUUAUGGUAUACAAAUGUCUGGCGUCCUUCUAUCUGUCUUGGGUCCUUCUGUCUGUUAGUCACUCCAUCUGUCUGGCGAAAACAUGUCCAACUUCAACUUGAGAACAACUUAUCCAAAUUUCAUGAAACUUAACAUAGUUGUUUCUUAUGAUGGUCAAACUAUCUGUCUACUUUUUGGUGAAAAUAAGAUUAAAAUUUUUUGAGUUACAUUACUUUGUAACUAAACCAGGAA